rnacentral:rRNA from 1 species
UACGUAGGUGGCUAGCGUUGUCCGGAUUUACUGGGCGUAAAGAGCGCGCAGGCGGUCGUUCAAGUCGAGUGUGAAAGCCCCCGGCUCAACUGGGGGAGGGUCACUCGAUACUGGUCGACUCGAAGGCAGGAGAGGAAGCGGAAUUCCCGGUGUAGUGGUGAAAUGCGCAGAUAUCGGGAAGAACACCCGUGGCGAAGGCGGCUCUCUGGGACGGUACUGACGCGUGAGACGCGAAAGCGUGGGGAGCGAACAGG